rnacentral:rRNA from 1 species
CCUACGGGAGGCAGCAGUGAGGAAUAUUGGUCAAUGGACGAGAGUCUGAACCAGCCAAGUAGCGUGAAGGAUGACUGCCCUAUGGGUUGUCAACUUCUUUUAUAUGGGAAUAAAAUUUUCCACGUGUGGUAUUUUGUAUGUACCAUAUGAAUAAGGAUCGGCUAACUCCGUGCCAGCAGCCGCGGUAAUACGGAGGCUCCUAGCGUUAUCCGGAUUUAUUGGGUUUAAAGGGAACGUAGGUGGAUUGUUACGUCAGUUGUGAAAGUUUGCGGCUUAACCGUAAAAUUGCAGUUGAAACUGGAAGUCUUGAGUACAGUAGAGGUGUGCGGAAUUCGUGGUGUAGCGGUGAAAUGCUUA